AUGCAGUCGAGCGGAUGAGUGGAGCUUGCUCCAUGAUUCAGCGGCGGACGGGUGAGUAAUGCCUAGGAAUCUGCCUGGUAGUGGGGGACAACGUUUCGAAAGGAACGCUAAUACCGCAUACGUCCUACGGGAGAAAGUGGGGGAUCUUCGGACCUCACGCUAUCAGAUGAGCCUAGGUCGGAUUAGCUAGUUGGUGAGGUAAAGGCUCACCAAGGCGACGAUCCGUAACUGGUCUGAGAGGAUGAUCAGUCACACUGGAACUGAGACACGGUCCAGACUCCUACGGGAGGCAGCAGUGGGGAAUAUUGGACAAUGGGCGAAAGCCUGAUCCAGCCAUGCCGCGUGUGUGAAGAAGGUCUUCGGAUUGUAAAGCACUUUAAGUUGGGAGGAAGGGCAGUAAGUUAAUACCUUGCUGUUUUGACGUUACCAACAGAAUAAGCACCGGCUAACUUCGUGCCAGCAGCCGCGGUAAUACGAAGGGUGCAAGCGUUAAUCGGAAUUACUGGGCGUAAAGCGCGCGUAGGUGGUUCGUUAAGUUGGAUGUGAAAGCCCCGGGCUCAACCUGGGAACUGCAUCCAAAACUGGCGAGCUAGAGUAUGGCAGAGGGUGGUGGAAUUUCCUGUGU
rnacentral:rRNA from 2 species